AAGAAAAAAAAGAAAAAAAAGAGAAAAAAGAAAAAAAAUAGAAAAUAAAAAUACAAAAAAUGAAAAAAAAGAAAGAGAAAAAAAAAUAAAUAAAAAGAAAAGAAAAAAAAUGAGAAAAGGAAAAAUAAGAAAUAAAAUAAAAAAAAAGGGAUAAAAAGUUGAAAAACGUGGGGAUGAAAACAGUUACAACAGAAUUAAGCAAAGAAGAGAGCAGAGCAUUAUCAUCUUGGCGAGGGGAUACCAUUCAUCAUCAUCAGUAACCUUGAUUGAGUUCAUUAUCAUGGUUCAGCCCUCACACUACCCUGAAUUCACCUAUUCCCUCACACAUCACUCUCAAUCAGCAAGAACAGAAACCAAUCUCCAUUACUCCAACCCGUCAUUUUUCCCCAACGGAACAAAGAUCACCUUCACCAUCCACAUUCAUCCAUGGCCAUAACCAUCUAACCACUCACAGAUCCUAUCAACAACUUUCCACCAUAUUCACCUCAAUACAAUUUCCAUUCAUAUGGUUCUCCUAUUUCCCCUGCAUUAAAACAAAAACAGAGAAGAACUCAUUUUCACCUUUGGGAGACCAUUUUACUCAUUCAUUCAUCAUCAACAAUAGCCUUCGUUGCAACAAUUCGGGAAGGAACCCUCCAACCAAAUUCAUCCGUAAGCCAUCAUCAUCAUCAUCCAUCACCCAGACACUCAG
rnacentral:lncRNA from 1 species